rnacentral:lncRNA from 1 species
CCAUCUCUAUGCCAUGUGUCUUAGCAAAUGAUGUGCUAAUAAACGAAUGAGAUGCGCCUGUAUCAAACACUGCUCUAGCUCUAGUGCCUUUAAUCACAAUUAUACCUGCCACGACGUCGUCGGGUGCUGCAGGUUGUUGCUCCUCCACCUGAGCGGCGAAGACUCGGCCGCUAGGCGCUCUCGAUCCCUCCAGCUGACGUGGUGAUGACGCGCGCCCAGCCGACAUCGCUGGUGGUAACCCCGCAAGCUGUCUCGGGGUAGACGGUGUUGAAGCCGCCGUUGGCGCAGACGACGUCCAUGUCGGGCACUCCCGGAUAAGAUGUCCCGGUUGGCCACACUUGAAA